UUUACAAGUAUAGGAACAAGUUCCUUGCUGUGGCCUACGAACUGAAUCUAAUAUAAUCUGUAUGCUUCUUCGAAUGUAUAUACAUACACAAUACACUCAUACAUGUGUGUCUGCUACUCCCUAAAAUUUCGACUCUCGCUCUCGCACUUAAAAAUAUCAUCUCUCUAGAAUCCAAUUAGCUUCACGAUCUACUCAACGCAAUCUAAUUUCACCCGUUGUGAAUUGUGAUGAUUAGUUUAACUUUAAUUCUCCGAUCUAGUUAACUUCGUUUGAUUAUUGUAUCGUAAAACCCUAGUUUCUCACUUCAUUUUGAUUAUUGUGUACGUUGUUGAGUGAAUAUGUGUAACAUGAUUCUGUUAGGUCUUUGAAUUGGAUUGCUGUUGAAUGUUUAGAUAGAGCUGCUGGAUUAGAGGUUUUAAUAUAGUGUUAAUUUAGUGCUUUUAGAUUCAUUUGGAUGUCAUGAUUGAUAUUAGUUGUGGUCAAUUAGGGAAUUAAUUCGAAAGAACUGCUUUACUGUAAACAUAUCAUUUUGAUUGAAUUGUUAGGUAGCUUCGUUUUUGUGAUUUGGGUAUUGGAAUUUUCGAGUUAUUAUUAGAGG
rnacentral:lncRNA from 1 species